rnacentral:rRNA from 1 species
CCUGGAUGAUCUAGAUAGUAGUCAUAUGCUUGUCUCAAACAUUAAUCCAUGCAUGUCUAGAAUAAAUAAAAUCAGACUAUGAAAUUGUGAAUGGCUUAUUAAAUCAGUUUUAGUUUGUUUGAUGGUAUCUACUACUCGAAUAACCAUAGUAAUUCUAGAGCUAAUACAUGCAACAAACCUCGCCUUCUUUAAGGGGUGCAUUUAUUAGAUUGAAAUUUAACGUGGGUUCUUCCCAUUGCUGCGAUGAUUUAGGAUAACUCAUUAGAUCACAAAGUCAUCGUACUGGCGAUGCAUCAUUCAAAUUUUUCCCUAUCAACUUUCGAUGUUAAAAUAGUGACCUAUGAUAGUGGUGAUGGGUGAUGAAGAAUUAGUGUUUGAUUUUUGACACAGAGCCUAAGAAACAGCUACUACAUCUAAGAAAGACAGAAAACACACAAAUUACCCUAUCCUGACACGAGGAGGUAAUGACAAUAAAUAAAAAAUAGCGGGAUCAAUGAGUCUGAUAAUUUGAAUAAGUACAUUCUAAAUCCCUUAGCGAGGAUCUAUUGGGGGGUAAGUCUGGUUCCAGCAUCCGUAUUAAUUCUUGCUCUAAUAGCAUUUAAUUAAGUUGUUGUGCUUUGGGAUAGGCCAUAUAGUGUACCUAUGGUAUGCACCAGAUAUCUCGUACCUUCUUUCGGUGAUAUACCCCUGGCAUUAACUGGCCGGUUAGUACCUCUGGUGCUGUUACAUUAAAGAAAUUAGAGUUUUCAAAGUAAGCCUUUGCUCUGUAUACAUUAGCAUAGUAUAAUAUUGGAUGUUGGACCUAUUAUGUUGGAAUUCAAGAUCAAAGUAGUGAUUAAUAGGGAAAGUCUAGGGCAUUCAUAUUUCUUAGUCAGAGGUGAAAUUCCUGGAUUUAUUAAAGACGAACAAAUGCGAAAGCAUUUUCCUAGGAUGUUUUAAAUAAUCAAGAACAAAAGUUGGGGCCUUCAAAAAUGAUUAGAUACCUUUAUAGUCUCAACCUUAAAUGAUGACGACUAGGGAUUGGCGGAUGUUGCUUUUCAGACUCCACACCACCUUAUGAGAAAUCAAUGAUUUAGGGUUUCGGGGGGAGUAUGGUCACAAGAUGAAACUUAAAGGAAUUGACAGAAGGGCAACUUCAGGAGUAGAUCCUGUGACUAAAUUUUUAUUAACAUAGGGAAACAUAUUAGGUCUAGACAUAGUAAAUAUUGAUAGACUGAGAGCUCUUUCUCGAUUCAAUGGGUGGUGGUACAUGGCCAUUCUUAGUUGGUGGAGUUAUUUGUCUAGUUAUUUAUAUCCCUUCGUGUCUAGGUUCUUAGAGGGACUACAACCUUUUAGGCAUCAUAAAUUUGAGGUAAUAACAGGUGUGUGAUGCCAUUAGAUGUUCUGGGCUACACGCACGCUACACUGCUGUAUUUAAUGAUCUUAUAGCCUCGGCCAACAGGCCUUGUAUCUUUUAAAUAUCAUCAUAAUAGGAAUUAAUCAUUGAAAUUGUCGGUCUUCAAGGAGGAAUUCCAAGUAAGCAUGCGUAAUUAACUCGCAUUGACUACAUCUCUGCACUUUUUACACACCGCCCAUCGCUCUUACUAAUUGAAUGAUCUUGUGAAAUGUUUGGAUCAUGGCAACGUAGGCAGUUUGCUGCCUACGAUGCCACGAGAAUUCCAUUGAACCUUAAAAUAUAGUGGAAGGAGAAGUUGUAACAACGUUUCCAUAGGUAAACCUGCGGAAG